AUUGAACGCUGGCGGCAGGCCUAACACAUGCAAGUCGAACGAGUGGCAGACGUGUGAGUAAUGUCUGGAAAACUGCCUGAUGGAGGGGACUACCUUCUGAAAACGGUAGCUAAUACCGCAUACCAUCGGAUGGACCCAGAUGGGCUUAGCUAGUAGGUGGGGUAAAGGCGCACCUAGGCGAAGAGCCCUAGCUGGUCUGAGCGGAUGACACGCCACAUGGGAACUGAGACACGGUCCAGACUCCUACGGGAGGCAGCAGUGGGGAAUAUUGCACAAUGGGCGCAAGCCUGAUGCAGCCAUGCCGCGUGUAUGAAGAAGGCCUUCGGGUUGUAAAGUACUUUCAGCGGGGAGGCGUUACCCGCAGAAGAAGCACCGGCUAACUCCGUGCCAGCAACCGCGGUAAUUC
rnacentral:rRNA from 1 species